UACGUAGGGGGCGAGCGUUGUCCGGAGUUACUGGGCGUAAAGGGCAUGCAGGCGGUCAGGCGCGUUUUGUGUGACAGCGGAUGGCUUAACUAUCCGAGGAUACGAGAUACGGCGUGACUUGAGAGCGCGAGAGGGACACGGAAUUCCGGGUGGAGUGGUGAAAUGCGUAGAGAUCGGCAGGAACACCCAGGGGGAAACCAGUCGACUGGGCAUCUACUGACGCUGAGGAGCGAAAGCGUGGGGAGCGAACAGG
rnacentral:rRNA from 1 species